AAAAAAAACUUUAAAGAUUCUAGUGGAUUGCUCCAGGAAAAUGAUAUUCGGCCACCACGAAAACAUAACGAAGCCAGAAACGCAUGCUUUCUCUGCCGUUUCGAAGUUUUUGAUUUAAAAAUUGAAAACAAAUUUUACCAUUAAAAAAAUAAUAAAAGCUAAUGAAAAGAAAUUAAAAAAUCUAAAUUCUUAGAAAACAAAUUUUACCAUUAAAAAAAUAAUAAAAGCUAAUGAAAAGAAAUUAAAAAAUCUAAAUUCUUAUGCCUCCCCUCACUCACCCCCUCUCUGACUCACCCACUCUGUCUCUCUCACUCUUACCCACGAAGCUCGUUCCCCUCGAAAUUUUGCUCAGAUCUCAGCUAACAAAUCAUCAAAAC
rnacentral:lncRNA from 1 species